rnacentral:tRNA from 1 species
CGGAUGUAGCCAAGNGGAUCAAGGCA